rnacentral:lncRNA from 1 species
AAUGUUGUGUUUCCUUUUCUACCACGUCCAUAUCUUUGUUAGUUAAUUCGCAAAUUAUUCGUAAAUUAUUCAUAAAUUAUUAAAAAUCCGAAUUAAAUAGUUCGUUUACGAAUUUUUUCAAAGAAAAAAAUAAAUUAUUCACGAAUUUUUGGGCCAGCCGAAUAAUUCGCGAAUUAUUUCUGGAUUAUUGAAAAUCUGAAUAAAAAGCUUAUAAUUUUUAUAUUUAAAUAUAGAUUAUCUUAUAUUUUAUAUUUUAUACUGAAUUCAUUUUUUAAGCCGAAUUUUUUAAUAAAUUUAAAAAUUAGAAAAUAAAUUUUAUGCGUAUUAUAUAUGUACCGAAUUUUUGCCGAAUCCGAAUUAACUAAUUAUGGUCUAUACUUCAACUAUAUUACUACUAGGCUUAACAUUGUCCAAAAAAAAAGAAAAAAACGAAAACAAAAAGAAACUAUUUCUGAAUUGUAUCCUCUUAGAUUGAUUUGGAGGAUAACAUUGUUGGCUAUUUAUUAUUUGGCAAAAAUAGGUCCAACUUUCUGUCCUGUAAUAAUAGGCACAAAGAUUAAAAAGUUGAGUUGGGUGAGCUUAAUUAAUUAGUUUAGUGGGGGUGUGGUUCACAAGAGACCUAACAGCAAGAUGCCGAACAAUAGACCCAACGUUAAGGUGGGUUGAGUCAGGUCGAAAUCUGCGAGCAUUGUGGCUGAGCCCUUAAGUCAGGUGGAUGCACUCUUCCUAUCAGCACGUGCUUUAGAAUAGUUGGUUAGCGCUUACGAUCUACAAACAUAGUAUUAAAUUGAGCAGUUUUAACUCUCCAGGAAUAAAAUGCAAUCAACCUACAAAGUUCAACUUUCAUAUAUUUUUUUUGCAAAAAUCUUAAUGUUUUCAAAUAUGUCCCUGCUGUUAGAAUUCAUUAGAAAACUUUAAUUAACUAUAAGUUAAAUAAUUAACUCUAAUUAAUUUAUAAGACAACUUGACAUUUUUUGCCCCUCUCAUAUUAUAGUGUUGUGACUGUUGAAUGGACAAAUUUGUCAAGGCAAAAUUGACGUUUCAGUAACAAACUAGAGUAAUAUAUUUGAAAACAUUAGAACUUUUUCAGAAACAACAUAGAAAAGUUAAACUUUAUAGGGGCAUAUUUGAAAUUCACUAUAUUUGUAUGGACAUGAAUACAUUUAACUCUAAAUUUUUUGAAAAU